rnacentral:rRNA from 1 species
GUCCUAUAGAUAAUAUUUUUAGGUCUGUCCUGCCCACUGAUUUUAUUGAAUGGCCGCGGUAUUUUGACCGUGCAAAGGUAGCAUAAUCAUUAGUUUUUUUAUUGAAAGCUGGAAUGAAAGGAUGAAUGAGAAAAUUUCUGUCUCUAAUUAAAUAAUAGAAUUUUAUUUUUAAGUUAAAAAGCUUAAAUAAUUUUAAAAGACGAGAAGACCCUAUAGAGUUUAAUAAUUAAUAGUUUAUUUUUUUUUGGUUUUAAAAUUUAAUUUAUUUUUAAUUAUUUAGUUGGGGUGAUUGAAAAAUUUAUUUAACUUUUUUUAUAUUUAAACAAUUAUAUUUGAAUCUUUGAUCCGUUUAUAUGAUUAAAAGAAAUAAUUACCUUAGGGAUAACAGCGUAAUUUUUUUAGAGAGUUCUUAUCGAAAAAAAAGUUUGCGACCUCGAUGUUGGAUUAAAAUUUAAAUUUGGUGUAGAAGCUAAAUUUUUUAGUCUGUUCGACUAUUGAAAUUUUACAUGAUCUGAGUUUAAACCGGUGUGAGCCAGGUUGGUUUCUAUCUUUAGAUAAUAUUAAUAUUUUAGUACGAAAGGACCAGAUAUUAAAUUUAAAAUUUUAAGUUUGAAUUAUAUUGUUAUUUUGGCAGAAUAGUGCGAUAGAUUUAGAAUCUUUAAAUAUGUAGUAAUACAUAAAUAAUAUUUGUUAAUAAAAGAUUUAUUUUUAAUUUUUGUUUCUUUUUUAAUUUUAGUAAUUUGUGUUUUAGUUGGGGUGGCUUUUUUAACUUUACUUGAGCGUAAGGUUUU